AGAUUGAACGCUAGCGGGAUGCUUUACACAUGCAAGUCGAACGGCAGCGCGGACUUCGGUCUGGCGGCGAGUGGCGAACGGGUGAGUAAUAUAUCGGAACGUGCCCAGUAGCGGGGGAUAACUACGCGAAAGCGUGGCUAAUACCGCAUACGCCCUACGGGGGAAGGGGGGGAUUCUUCGGAACCUCUCACUAUUGGAGCGGCCGAUAUCAGAUUAGCUAGUUGGUGGGGUAAAGGCUCACCAAGGCGACGAUCUGUAGCUGGUUUGAGAGGACGACCAGCCACACUGGGACUGAGACACGGCCCAGACUCCUACGGGAGGCAGCAGUGGGGAAUAUUGGACAAUGGGCAAAGCCUGAUCCAGCAACGCGCGUGAGGAUGACGGCCUUCGGGUUGUAAACCUCUUUCAGCGCCGACGAAGCGAGAGUGACGGUAGCGCAGAAGAAGCACCGGCCAACACGUGCCAGCAGCCGC
rnacentral:rRNA from 1 species